rnacentral:rRNA from 1 species
AUUGAACGCUGGCGGCAUGCCUUACACAUGCAAAUCGAACGGUAACGGGCCUUCGGGUGCCGACGAGUGGCGAACGGGUGAGUAAUACAUCGGAACGUGCCCGAUCGUGGGGGAUAACGAGGCGAAAGCUUUGCUAAUACCGCAUACGAUCUACGGAUGAAAGCAGGGGACCGCAAGGCCUUGCGCGGACGGAGCGGCCGAUGGCAGAUUAGGUAGGUGGUGGGGUAAAAGCUUACCAAGCCGACGAUCUGUAGCUGGUCUGAGAGGAUGAUCAGCCACACUGGGACUGAGACACGGCCCAGACUCCUACGGGAGGCAGCAGUGGGGAAUUUUGGACAAUGGGCGCAAGCCUGAUCCAGCCAUGCCGCGUGCAGGAUGAAGGCCUUCGGGUUGUAAACUGAUUUUGUACGGAACGAAAAGCCUUCUUUUAAUACAGGAGGGUCAUGACGGUACCGUAAGAAUAAGCACCGGCUAACUACGUG